CCUACGGGGGGCUGCAGUGGGGAAUAUUGGACAAUGGGCGAAAGCCUGAUCCAGCCAUGCCGCGAGUGUGAAGAAGGCCUUCGGGUUGUAAAGCACUUUCAGUGGGGAAGAAAGCCUUGGGGCUAAUACCCUCGAGGAAGGACAUCACCCACAGAAGAAGCACCGGCUAACUCCGUGCCAGCAGCCGCGGUAAUACGGAGGGUGCGAGCGUUAAUCGGAAUUACUGGGCGUAAAGCGCGCGUAGGCGGUCUGAUAAGCCGGUUGUGAAAGCCCCGGGCUCAACCUGGGAACGGCAUCCGGGACUGUCAGGCUAGAGUGCAGGAGAGGAAGGUAGAAUUCCCGGUGUAGCGGUGAAAUGCGUAGAGAUCGGGAGGAAUACCAGUGGCGAAGGCGGCCUUCUGGACUGACACUGACGCUGAGGUGCGAAAGCGUGGGUAGCAAACAGGAUUAGAUACCCUUGUAGUC
rnacentral:rRNA from 1 species